UAUAGAUUAUCUAGAGGGAGUAAGAUAAUAAAGAGUAAAAAUCAACGGAAAAUGAAUAUAUGGUUCAUAUAAUAGUUUCAGUAAUCAUGUGUCUAAUAUGAGUGUAUUAGAGUUGGUAUGUUUUAUGUUAGAAUGUCUGUCUUAGAUUUAGUUGUGUUAGACAUAGUAGUUUUAGUGUUGUGUAUUAUGAAAAUCUGCCAUCUUUGUAUUGCCUUUGCUUUUUGUCUCCUUAUUACUGAAUAUUUUAUGGAAAUAUGUUUUAAUAUGUAACCCAUCUUGAGCUGUGAGGAGAGGCGGGUAAGAAAUAAAAUUAUGAUCAUGAUUAUUAUGAUUAUUAUAUAAAUUAGUAAAAACCCUGCAGAAUAUAUAAACAGAGAGGGCUGACUACAUAAAUCAAUGAUAAAAUUACCAUAUUUCUUCAAUUCUAAGAUGUCAGCGAUUAUAAGACAUUCACUUUCAAUACCAUCAACAGAAAAAAGCGUUACAGUAGAGUCUCACUUAUCCAAGCUAAAUGGGCCGGCAGAAGCUUGGAUAAGCGAAUAUCUUGGAUAAUAAGGAGAGAUUAAGGAAAAGCCUAUUAAACAUCAAAUUAGGUUAUGAUUUUACAAAUUAAGCACCAAAACAUCAUGUUAUACAACAAAUUUGACAGAAAAGUAGUUCAAUAUUCAGUAAUGUUAUGUUGUAAUUACUGUAUUUACAAAUUUAGCAACAAAAUAUCACGAUAUAUUGAAAACAUUGACUACAAAAAUGGCUUGGAUAAUCCAGAGGCUUGGAUAAGUGAGACUCUACUGUAUUUACAUAAAAACCACUCACAAUUCUAAGAUGCACUCCAAAUUUAGAGAUGUGCUUCUUAGAACUGAAAAAAAUGCAGUAUUAUUUUAUUCAUGAUGAUCCAUAUAUAUUGGUGGAUUUUAAUCCUAAUGAAUGUUUUGGUCUUUAACGGUUUCAGGAAAGAAGAAUGGCUUCAAACAGAGGCAAGAGGUACUGCAUUGAGAAACUAUGGGUUGACGGGAGCUAGAGCUUGACAUCACCUCGUCUUGCGGAUUCGAACGGCCAACCUCCAGGUCAGCAGUUCAGCGGCACAAGGGUUUAACCCAUUGCGCUACACUCCCUCCCCUUCUCCAAUCAAAGACUUAUACCUAAUUCCCUGUCAAUCCUCUUGCACAUAAAUUUCCUCUACUUGUCUAUUUUUAUUAAUAAUUAGUCACCCUUUCUCCAAAUCAUUUAUCCAAAAUCUCACCUGAUCUGAACCUGCUACUGCUCUGACACUCAAUAAAUGGUUUCCAUAUAGCAUCAA